GACGAACGCUGGCGGCGUGCUUAACACAUGCAAGUCGAACGGUAAGGCCCUUCGGGGUACACGAGUGGCGAACGGGUGAGUAACACGUGGGUGAUCUGCCCUGCACUUCGGGAUAAGCCUGGGAAACUGGGUCUAAUACCGGAUAGGACCACUGCCUGCAUGGGUGGUGGUGGAAAGCUUUUGCGGUGUGGGAUGGGCCCGCGGCCUAUCAGCUUGUUGGUGGGGUGAUGGCCUACCAAGGCGACGACGGGUAGCCGGCCUGAGAGGGUGACCGGCAACCGCGGGACUGAGAUACGGCCCAGACUCCUACGGGAGGCAGCAGUGGGAAAUAUUGCACAAUGGGCGCAAGCCUGAUGCAGCGACGCCGCGUGAGGGAUGACGGCCUUCGGGUUGUAAACCUCUUUCAGCACCGACGAAGCGCAAGUGACGGUAGGUGCAGAAGAAGGACCGGCCAACUACGUGCCAGCCGCCGCCGUAA
rnacentral:rRNA from 1 species